rnacentral:rRNA from 1 species
GACGAACGCUGGCGGCGUGCUUAACACAUGCAAGUCGAGCGAUGAGAUCACUUCGGUGAAGGAUUAGCGGCGAACGGGUGAGGAACACGUGAAGAAUCUGCCUUCAACUCUGGGAUAACUCCGGGAAACCGGGGCUAAUACCGGAUAUGAGCCUUGAUCGCAUGAUCGGGGCUGGAAAGUUUUUCGGUUGAAGAUGACUUCGCGGCCUAUCAGCUUGUUGGUGAGGUAAUGGCUCACCAAGGCGACGACGGGUAGCCGGCCUGAGAGGGCGACCGGCCACACUGGGACUGAGACACGGCCCAGACUCCUACGGGAGGCAGCAGUGGGGAAUAUUGGGCAAUGGACGAAAGUCUGACCCAGCGACGCCGCGUGCGGGAUGAAGGCCUUCGGUUGUAAACCGCUUUCAGCAGGGAAUAAGCGCAAGUGAAGGUACCUGCAGAAGAAGCACCGGCUAACUAUGUG